AGGACCGUAGCUCAGUUGGUUAGAGCGCUGCCUUGACAUGGCAGAGGUCGGUGGUUCGAAUCCACUCGGUCCUA
rnacentral:tRNA from 1 species